rnacentral:rRNA from 1 species
GACGAACGCUGGCGGCGUGCUUAACACAUGCAAGUCGAACGGAAAGGCCCUGCUCUUGUGGGGUGCUCGAGUGGCGAACGGGUGUGUAACACGCGAGUAACCUGCCCUUGACUUUGGGAUAACUUCAGGAAACUGGGACUAAUAUAGGAUAGGAGCUCCUGAUGCAUGGUGGGGGUUGGAAAGUUUCGGCGGUUGGGGAUGGACUCGCGGGUUAUCAGCUUGUUGGUGGGGUAGUGGCUUACCAAGGCUUUGACGGAUAGCCGGCCUGAGAGGGUGACCGGCCACAUUAGGACUGAGGUACGGCCCAGACUCCUACGGUAGGCAGCAGUGGAGAAUAUUGCGCAAUGGGCGGAAGCCUGAUACAGCAGCGCCGCGUGCGGGAUGACGGCCUUCUGGUUGUAAACCGCUUUCGCCUGUGACGAAGCGUGAGUGACGGUAAUGGGUAAAGAAGCACCGGCUAACUACGUG